rnacentral:rRNA from 1 species
GACGAACGCUGGCGGCGUGCUUAACGCAUGCAAGUCGAACGGAAAGGCCCUUCUUUUGUGGGGUGCUCGAGUGGCGAACGGGUGAUUAACACGUGAGUAACCUGCCCUUUACUUUGGGAUAACUUCAGGAAACUGGGGCUAAUACCGGAUAGGAUCUCCUGCUGCAUGUUGGGGGUUGGAAAGUUUCGGCGGUUGGGGCUGGACUCGCGGCUUAUCAGCUUGUUGGUGGGGUAGUGGCUUACCAAGGCUUUGACGGGUAGCCGGCCUGAGAGGGUGACCGGCCACAUUGGGACUGAGAUACGGCCCAGACUCCUACGGGAGGCAGCAGUGGGGAAUAUUGCACAAUGGGCGGAAGCCUGAUGCAGCAAAGCCGCGUGCGGGAUGACGGCCUUCGGGUUGUAAACCGCGUUCGCCUGUGACGAAGCGUGAGUGACGGUAAUGGGUAAAGAAGCACCGGCUAACUACGUG